rnacentral:rRNA from 1 species
CACGUAGGGCGCAAGCGUUGUCCGGAAUUAUUGGGCGUAAAGAGCUCGUAGGCGGUCUGUUACGUCUGCUGUGAAAACCCGGGGCUUAACCCUGGGCUUGCAGUGGAUACGGGCAGACUAGAGGCAGGUAGGGGAGAAUGGAAUUCCCGGUGUAGCGGUGAAAUGCGCAGAUAUCGGGAGGAACACCGGUGGCGAAGGCGGGUGCUGGGC